rnacentral:rRNA from 1 species
GGUGGAUGCCUUGGCAGUUGGAGGCGAUGAAGGACGUAUUAACUUGCGAUAAGCCUAGUCAAGCUAGUAAAAAGCGCUUGAGACUAGGAUUUCCGAAUGGGGAAACCCACCACUUAGUGGUAUCACUUACUGAAUACAUAGGUAAGUGAGGCGAACCGGGAGAACUGAAACAUCUAAGUACCCCGAGGAAAAAAAAAAAAA